rnacentral:rRNA from 1 species
CAGUAGCCGCGGUAAUACCAGCACCUCGAGUGGUCAGGAGGUUUAUUGGGCCUAAAGCAUCCGUAGCCGGUUGCAUAAGUUUUCGGUUAAAUCUAUGCGCUUAACGUAUAGGCCGCCGAUAAUACUGUGCAGCUAGGGAGUGGGAGAGGUACACGGUACUCGAUAGGAAGGGGUAAAAUCCUUUGAUCUAUUGAUGACCACCUGUGGCGAAGGCGGUGUACCAGAACACGUUCGACGGUGAGGGAUGAAAGCUGGGGGAGCAAACCGGAUUAGAUACCCCCGUAGUCCCUGUCUCUUAUAC